ensembl:lncRNA
GUGGCAGGAGGGAAAUGGGUGGGAGUGGGCUUCUAGGUUCUUGCAAAGAUUAAAACUGAACCCUCCAUUGAAAGCCUUUCAAGAUUCCCCCAGACCUGGAAACAGUGCUGGACUUGGCUGGAAAAAGGGGAGGCUGUCAGGAGGUAAAGCUGGAGAAUGCUGGAACCUCAGACCCCGAAAAGCUAAUAGACACGGCUCAUCCCUAUCGAAAACCAAGUGAGAAAUUCGUGCUUAGUCUCAUAUUUGACAAUCUGGAAUUGCUCAUUUUCAUACUCACUUUCAAUAAGAGAGAGCCCUUGAGCAAGGUUGUGAAAUAAAAUAAUUAUAGUCCUUUCAUUCAUACUGCAUUGUAUAAUUUACAUAAAGUUUUGUUAUUCAUUUUUUUAUCCGAGUCUCACAACAACCGUGUGAGGCAGGUGGAACAGGGAUUGCCAUUCCCUUCUGGCAAAAGACGAAACCGAGGCCCAGAACAGUUAAGUUACCAGAAUUCAUAGAGCCCAUUAUGUGGAACAGCCAGGCUAGAAUUCAGGCCCUUUGAGACCUUCCACGUUCCUUCCACUCUACCACGGAGAAAGGCUUGCCUUUGACAACUUGCCUGCCAGCUCCCUUGCCCACACUUGCUACUUUGAGAAACCACGCUGCUUAUAUCCACCCCUGGGAAACUUCUCAUUUGUCUCCCCCUUCCACAGCGACCUUUUCUAGGCUACACCCCCUCGUCCACACGCAGCUUUUCUCUGAUCUCAAUAACGUGUCCAUGCAGAGGAACUCUUUUUAAGGUUCUGUUUCAUGAGAGGGGCCGGGAGAACCUACCCACUGACCUAAUUUACUAAUUCUUGCUGAGAAGUUUGGGGAGUGAUUGUUACUCCUCCGAGAUAACAGCGCACUUUAAGAGAAGUUCUCAAUGCCUUACUCCAAAGCGUAGAUUCCAACUGUGAGAGUUUUAGCAUUUUGGCUUAUUUUGAAGCGCCUGCAGAUCCUAUGAUGUAAGUGCCCCUUCCCCCCAACACACAACUGGGACUAGCCCCACCUGAGUGAGCUAACAAGCUACUCGUCUAGUCCUUUGUGCAUAGGUGCCUUCUUCCUCUGAGCCCAGGGAACACAUCUUGACUCGCAGCUGAAGACUGGCUCCGUGGCCAGCUGGCACCCAGAGCUCUCCCAGGGAGAGUCAGCUUUUGGGGAGCUAACGGCACACUCCUGCCUGGUCUGGAGCGCCUGCCAUAGGUCUCCCCUUCCCGUCCCUCCAGGGAGCUGGAGCUUCUCUUUCUUCCUGAGAUGCUCAGGGAUUCUUGUCAGGUGAUACUGACACUGUUGGUUUGGGGACCACACUUUGAAAUCAGAGAAUAAGGUAUCCUCUCCAUUUACAGACCACCUGAUUUCUCCUGCAGCUGCAGUUUCCAGCAUUCUGACAGUCUUCCAUCUCAAGUAGCCUGUCUCUCUUCUCUGCCUGAGGCUUUCUUGGGCAAUGGAAGCUUGCUCUGCCUGAGCCAGGUGCAACCCGGAAGUGCAGGAUAGUAAACAUCAUUGGCGCUGACCUUCAACCAAUGGGGAUGGAAUAAAUAUCACACACUUCUCCUCCGAUGGGAUGAUUCUGAGGCAUGGUCCACAUGGUUUAUCAGAGAGUCUCCUGCAAGACUGAGUCCCAGCUGCCCACAAGAUAACUUGCUCGUUAACGUACUUGUUAGUAGCUUUUCUCCCUUCUUUGUCUCACUUUCCCCAUUUUCUUCUUGUGCUCCUGAGAUCACCUCCUAAAUAAACCACCUGUACC